rnacentral:rRNA from 1 species
UACGGAGGGGGCUAGCGUUGUUCGGAAUUACUGGGCGUAAAGCGCACGUAGGCGGCUUGUAAGUUAGAGGUGAAAGCCCGGGGCUCAACUCCGGAAUUGCCUUUAAGACUGCAUCGCUAGAAUUGUGGAGAGGUAAGUGGAAUUCCGAGUGUAGAGGUGAAAUUCGUAGAUAUUCGGAAGAACACCAGUGGCGAAGGCGACUUACUGGACACAUAUUGA